CACUAAAUUAUAAAAUCUCGAUACCCCAUCCGGUAUGAGGGUGAAACGAGCCGUUCUCAAUCCUCGUCCAGUAUGAGCAUCAAAUUAGUACGUCUUGAUACCCCGUCCAGUAUGAGGCAACAUUCACGGUAGGAUUCUCUAUGCACCCGGUCCGUCCGCCAUCUCCUAAGAUAUCCAGUAAGGAUGUUGUUUUAUCCAUUCACUUAAUCACACAGAUCCCAGUUUACCUUUAAUCUUCAAU
rnacentral:lncRNA from 1 species